GUUCUUCUCAUUCUUCUCUCCCUGUUCUUACCAGCUGGUGAAACAGAAUGCCAGGUUUGAAAGUUUGCAGAAAGUUUGGAGCUUGGGAAUACUGGUUCUGUCUUGCUACCACUCGCAGCAUCUGAGAGAUUAUUCCAGAACGAGCAAAGCAGAUCAGCCUCUGCUGACAUUGACGACAUCUGCACCCGGAGCCAGCCUUUUUUAUAGAUGACCAGACAGAUAUUGCAAGCUUCAGCGACUUUAUCAAGACCACAUAUUUAUAAGGCAGCUGAGCAUAGGCACACAGUGCUGGGUGUGGCUAUUGUCAUCUGGGAACUUGCCUUCUGUACUUGAGUUCACUAAACUACAAAAGGAUCAUAUAUUCUCUCAGGGAACUCAGGAGCAAACAAAAGCUUAUCCAAGAUAGCUGCAUGAAACCAGGUAUGGUGGCACAUCCUAAUCCCAGCCUUUUUGGAGGUGGAGAGAGUACAUUCAAGGGCAUCCUCAGCUACCCAGCGAGGUCAACGUCAUCUACAGCUGCCUUGUGUGUUCUAGGGCAGCCUGGGCUACACGAAACCCUAUCUUACAAAAAGAAGAGAAAAUAUUGUUUGAGUACUUUCCUUCAUACAGUUAAGGUUCUGACUGUCUGAAAUGUUUACAUGUCCUACUUACCACAGAUUAGAGUUUUGUCCAGUUAGACUAAAUGUUAUUGCUCUUUGUACAAAAAGCAAGAUGGUCUAUUUAGUGUAUUAAACAUAAAUGUAGAGAUUUUCCCCCUCAAAUAAAGCUGUGUGGUGUCUCACUGAAAUGGGUAAGUUUGUUUGUCACAGUGUCAGACACUAGCCAAAAUCAUCUCCAGCCAUCUCAUCUGUUAUUCUAACUAGUAUCUAGGCCUGUUCAUAUUUUAUUUUUUGUAAAUCUUCCUACCAGAGCUUCCUUUUUUAUAUAACCUAAUAUCAUUUAGGGGGUAAUGCUGUAAACAAAGAGACGACAAUAAAAUGAUGGGAAUCUAGAGUCACUGAAGUUUUCUCUCCUUCUUCCUUGAAUCAAACCAAGGAUGCCAGAAUCGGUAACAUCUCCCUUGAACCUUGAGUCUGUUAUCUGAUAUUUGAUAUGAAAUGAUUUGAGCUAUCUCUGAACCUUGGGGUCCUCAAUUGAAAGAAAGUAUAGUACUAUUAACCUUACAAGGAAUUCGUGGAAGGAGCAUGUAAGAUGUAUUUUUAUCACUUUAUCUGAACUGGUCUGAGAAAGCCGUUUUUUAGUAGGUUAAUACCAGAGUGUUCUAUUAGUCAAGCUCCUUCCAUGAGUACAGUGAGAUGAAACUACUCUACACAUCACAGCAGCCACUCUUGUCUUGCAUCUUCUCUUAAACACAUGUGUUAUGUGUGAAGAGAAGCAUAAGAAGCAGAGCCGUACCAAUGACAACAGUCAAUAUGUUAACAGUAACUAACCAACACCUACUGAAAUGUUUGGAAACCGUCUCCCUUUUUUCUACUCCAUAGUUAUUAGUGUCUUCUUGAUGAGCAUGGACUCUAAUGGGUUAUUCGUGGAUAUAUUCUGCAGAGAGUUAUUUCCUCUGUUUCUGAAAGAAUGUUCUUACUAUAACCUCAAAAGCAUGUUGACUUUGAACCAUUGCACAGAACACUUUUCUGCAUGUGUGAUGAGUCUGUAGAACUCAGCCAUAAGUUUCCACUGACUGAGAAUAUUAUGAAGUCUCCCAAUGAAUUUACUUCUCAAGGAUGCGUUCCUUCAGCUUGCCUCACUUCAUAUGCUUCUCCCCGCCCAUGCUGCAUACAAAAAUGUUUAGCAUAGGCAAGACGCUCCUCUUUAUGAGCUUCGACUUUAUAAAAUGAUAUAGCAAUAAAAACUUACUCUUCAAAAUUGCUUCCAAAAAGAGAUAUUAAAUCCAAAUACAGUCCAGAUUCAAUAAAAAUUGUUUAAUAAUUUGAAAAGUAUUUUCAUUGAUCAUAUAUAAUAUUCUCUAAUUGGUUAUAAAACCAUUUUCUAUGAAGUAACUUACACAGAAAAACACUAAAAGCAUUGUUCAGCUUGCUUAAGGAAUCCACUCAAGCUCUUGUGCAGCCCGGAACUGUACACAGCUCAGUGACGUCCUACAAACAGCACAUAACCCCGAAUGAUCAAUCCUAAUGAAGCAAACUCUUAUGGUUUAGUUUGCCUAUUGCUCACAGUAGGAGAACAGUUUAAGAGGGGGGUUGAGUUAUGACAAAUGUUAUACGUAAACAGUAAAAUAAAGCUUGUGCAGUUGUACAGUUAUCAAAUUGGAGAACGAUAUAUUGGGAACAAAUGACUAUAUUUAAGGACAUUUAUAGUAGAGAAGGUAUAUAUUUCUGAAUGCUUUCAGACAAAUUACAUCAAAUAUAAAUGUUAUCAUGAAUGAAAUUUCUCCAAACAAAUGCACCAGUGGCCUGCAGAAUGCUUGCUCUCCAAGUUGAAGCCCAACUCACUGACUUCAGGGACCUUUAGAGUGGAACAAGCCCUGGGGAGUGAAGCUUAAAGCUAUUCUGGUCUCAUUUAACUCUUCUUUCUCUUUGAUCAUUACGCUAAACUAGGAGCAUCUUGUCUCAUAAAACUCACUAUAUAAAAUGCCUGCACUAACAUGACAGAAACUGGAAAGUCUGAAAUCAGAAGCGGAACGGGAGAACAAGCACUAGUCACUCACUAGAUCUAUCACCUUCAGGUCUUAAAGCAAAGAGAAGAUGGUUAAAGACAGCUUGUUGCCUGAUACAGUGUCACUACACUGCACACAAGUUAAUUAGCUACCCAGUGUGCAGAACGAAGGGGAGCUAUGACAAAGUUUUCAGGUUAAAAAUAGAAGUUAACUGAUAGCUAAUUAUUGAUAACAAUUUUAAACUGAUGAGUAUUUUGACACAUCAAAUGCACUAAUUGCAGAGAAAACCUUCCACUUCUCUCUUGGAAAUCCCUUAGAGCAGUUUAGCUACUUCCCUGAAGUGGAAGCAGGUCAUGGCUGGAACUGGGCUUCGCCUGAAGAAAGAGUGCUGCAAUGCAUCAAGGUUCUCCCGCCUUUUUAUCCAAGAAGCCCAAUAAGAAAUGAAGUUAUAGAAGACAAUUGUGCCUUUAUUGAUGUGUCAGAAUAUUAUUGUUAAAUCAGUGGUAGAUAUAUGUAAAGUUUCUAAGCUUCAAAAUAUGAUCAGCAGUGCCAUUUUCAUGAAAUUAGCCAGGUGGCCCAUGCCUGUAGUCCUAGAAGAAGAAAGGCUAAGGCAGAAUGUGUGCCAUGAGUUCGAGGCCACCCUGGGCUACACAGUUAGUGCCAGGCCAACUAGGGUGACAGAGAAAAAAAUGUUUCAAACAUCAAAAUGACAAACCACAGGAGGAACAGGAAACAAGAACAUGCUCAGCCCAUACUAUCUGUCAACAUCAAGUAUUAAGAUUUGGAAAUAUAUGCAUAACAUGAUGCACCCAUAUCACCAGUUUACAUGAUCCAAUUCAAAUCCUAAGGAAGAAUUAUUUCUUAUUUUCCUUUUUAUUUAUUCUUGGAAAAAUUAUUUCAUUUAUAUUACCUUAUAUCCACAGAUUUAGCAUAAAUACUUAGAAAUGUCACACAAUAAUUUUAUUGAUUGUGUAUUGGUUGUAGUGGGGUAUCUUUUCCCUCCUUACAAACUAACUUAGUAGAGUCCUGAAACCUGGUGGCUUAUGCUACAAGUUGUGGAGUCAGAGAGAAGCCAAAUGUUGUAGAAACCUCAUUUGUAAAAUAAAACAUGUUUAUAUAAAGCUUAAGGCCCUUCUAGUUCUGACUUAAAUUGCCAUGUUCUAAAAAUAUUCCAAAGUAUAUUUUAAAAAAUAUUAGGAAUAGUUCCUAUGUAUGUUGCUGGAAUCAUCUAGUAUUGCUGGAUAUGUACUGAAUGUCUGAGAAACUUGACUCGUUAAUUUUGAAGCCAUUUUAAAGCAAAACUGUCCACUCCUAGGAAUGCUCUGACGGUAGCUCUGCAUCUACCUCCUAGUUCUUCUUCUCAAGGAUUCACCAGGACGCCAUCCAUGUCUGGAUAGGCAUUUCAACCCACAGCCAUGGGAUACAGCUGUAUCAGCUGCCACGAAGAAGUAGCAGGCCCCAUGCCUUGUACAAGUGUCUGCGCAACUUCACUGAAUGAACAACCAACAGGAAAAAAGUUAUAGCUGUGUUUUAGUGUGUGUAGGAUGUGCUCUUUGGAGAAGUUGCAAAGUUGACAUAUCGCUAGUUCCCUUCUGUACAUGCACAGAAUAAGCUCCCAUCUGCUGCUGGGAAGUUUCUGCUUAAUGAUUGUUUCGCAAGUUUUAAUAUUUUGGCUGAAAAUACUUUACUUCUUGAUACUGUCUAGACCAGAUUAGUAGCCAAAGAAGGAAAAAAAUUCCAAUGGCCUGUAAGUGAAAUACAACACUUAAAUGCUAAGUGACUUUAUAUGGUACCAAGUUCUUAGGUAAAGCAUACAAAUCAUUGAAAUUACAUAUUCUAAACUACAUAUUUUUGCAUAAAAUUCUUCUAUAAAAGUAUACAACCAAUCUACCUUUAUACCUAUCACUACAUAUUAAUGAGUUUUAUUAAGAAGGUCUCUUAGUUAGGGUUUCUUUUUCUGCACAAACAUCAUGACUAAGAAGCAAGUUGGGGAGGAAAGGGUUUAUUCAGCUUACACAUUCACAUUGCUGCUCAUCACCAAAGGAAGUCAGGACCGGAACUCACACAGGGCAGGAAGCAGGAGCUGAUGCAGAGGCCAUGGAGAGAUGUUACUUACUGAUUUGCUUCCCCUGGCUUGCUCAGCUUGCUUUCUUAUAGAACACAGGACUGCCAGCCCAGGGACAGCACCACCCACAAUGGGCUGGGCCCUCACCCCUUGAUCACUAAUUUAGAAAAUGCCUUACAGCUGGGUCUCAUGGAGGCGUUUCUUCAACUAAGACUCCUUUCUCUGUCAUAACUCCAGGUUGUGUCAAGUUGACACAAACACCAGCCAGUAGAGAUGGUAUUAAGAACUCUAGAAAGGAGGGGAGUAUGUUAUGUUAAAAUCCUAUACAGAGUGAGGUUGUUAUGGUCUAAAUUUAUAUGUACUUUUGUUUGUGCAUUUAAAAUUCCAAACUACAUAUGACUAAAUACAAUUAUAACAAAUUUUAUAAUUAGACUGAGUGGGUAUACAGUUUUACAAAAAAACAGGCUCAUAAUGCUCACUGACUGGUCACUUCAAAGUUCUACAUGGUUAAGUUUGUUCCCUUAGAGCACACAUAUUUAACUCCAGUGCCAUUGUCACCAAUGAUCCGUAGUCAUUGCCUGCAAGGACAUGGUCAACUCAGGUGUAGUCACAUCUCAAGGUUGUUUUCGUUUGGCGUCUUGAUUGGAAUUGAACAUAAAACAGGCACUCUAACUCAUGAAUAGUCACUUUAAAUUAGAGUUAAUGUUUAUACUACAGGUUUAUUUUCUAUCCUGGCCAAUACAAAUAAUUUAUUUAAAUCGUAAACACUCUCACCCCUAAGUAUCAGUUGUGUGUCUAACACAGCCUGGACUGGACCAUCACCUUGUUCUCGCAUGUGGUACUCAAAUGUAUUAAUUGUCACGUAUCCACUGAAUGGGUAGCAUUUGUGAAAUUACUGUCUUUAAGUAAUAGUUUGUAAGCACAUUUCGAAUUAUCAAGUAAUCACUACAAAACCUUAAAUCUCUAGGUUGGAAAUGACAAACAUGCACCAUUAAACAGCCAAAAGAUCACAAGCCCCCAACCCUAAGUAAGAAGUUAUCUUCAAUCGGUAACCACUCAAAAAUGAAAAAUUAUUUCUUUCUAACGGAGUAUCACUGUGCAUGCAAACCAGUCUUAGAGCCAGGCUCACAGUCAGCAGUAAAUGGCCAAGGCAGAAUGUGCUCAAUGCGUUUUUUUGUUUGUUUGUUUGUUUGUUUGUUUGCCUGUUUCAUAAUGUUUUGGCUAAUAUACUAUGUGUCUGGUUUUAUGUUUUUAGAUUUCUGUACAUGCCAGUCUCUGUGUGUCUGUGUGUGUGUGUAUGUGGUGUCUAUGUGUGUGUGUGUGUGUGUAUGUGUGUGUGUGUGUGUGUGUGUGUGUGUGUGUGUGUGUCAUGCUUUUCCUUUGGCUCUUUGUUUUUCAAAUCAUUUGUUUGUUUGGUUCUAGUCAUGUUUGUUUGAUUUUAUUAACUUCUCUUCCAUCUUUCUUUCUUUUCUUUACUUUUUCUUUCUUUUUUAAAGAGUCCUCUUAAAGAAUGUGAAUUUGGGUGGGUAGGGGGCGAAGGAUCUGGGAGGAGUUGAAGAAGGGGAAGUAUAAUCAGAAUAUAGAGUAUAUAAUUUGUUUUCAAUUUAGAAAAGAGAAAUAAUAAAUAAACUAUAAUAUAACAGGAAACUGGAAGCUCAUUAGAAAUUAUAAAUAUUUGGCAAAGUAUAAAUGCUAAUUAACCUGGUUUGAUUAUUAUACAAUGUGUACGUGUAUUGAGCUGUCAUUUUUGUAUCCUAGAAAUAUAUGUAUGAUGUUAACUAAAAAUUAUAAAAAUAAAAUAGUAGGAAUAUUAUGAAUAUUUAUGUAAAGAAAAAUAUUGGAAAUUUUGUAUGAAACUAUUUAAAAAGUGAUAGGAGAAACUUCUUAAGUUACCAAAUGAAAGUCUAGAUCUGGUAAGAUGUAACUGAGAAUCUAUGACUAUCAAAGAAAACAUGAAUAUCUUGAAAGUUGAUUCAAAAAGCUUUCCAAAAUGAAAACCAAAAGACAGAGACAGAAAGAGACUUAAAGGAUGCAGAAGGAUCGCCUCGUAUGCAAUAUUUGAAGUUCCAGAAGAAGCAAAGGGAUGACUGUUACUGAGAGUGUUUGAGAAGAUACUGGCUGAGUGUCAGGGAAUAGGACAUCAGAGUGGUAAUUAAUGUAUGAAUUAAAUGAGAAGACUGUCUAAAACAGUAACUUCCUGAUUGAAUUUAAAUGCAUGAAGGAGGAAAGGGAGCACAAAGGGACGCAGAGGCAUCUGAUGUCUGCAUUUCUCUGGAGGAUAAAAGUAAACUUCCUUGAAUCGCUGCCCAUUUCUGAGUUUCUUCCCUCUUUCCCCAUGCUGGUUAAUGAUGACGGUGUGCUUUUCCCGGCACUAACAGUGCCUUUCCUUUGUCUUCCCUUGCUCCGCAGUAAGGAAACCCCGUGUAUCCCCAUCUCAGAGCAGAGCUGGAGUCAUCCACUUGACUUAAACCACUACAAUGAUCUUACCCCCCAGCCUCCUCUCUUUGUUGCGCUAACCAGUCAUCCUGGCAGUUUUGCUGCUCCUUAAAUAUGUAGAAUGCUCUGUGAAGCCUGCCCGCACCUGGAAUGCAUUUCCCCAGAUGUCUGUGUGGCUUCUUCUCACAUCUACAAGUCUGUGCUCAAGUCCCAUCCUCAGAUGACUAUUAUGGUUGCUGUAGUUAAGGUCACUAGCCAUACUCAUAGCUUCACACACACACACACACACACACACACACACACACACACACACACACACACCCCACUGUCUAAUAUAUUGAAUAAUUAACUUACUCAUCACACUCAGUGUUUAUUAUCUGUUGAAAGUAACAUAACUUCUGCAAGGAGAAGGAAAUUUGUCUGCCUUGUCGAAAUGGAAACUCUCGGCAACCCAAAACAGCACGUAGUUUCUUAACAGACAAGAUCAAUAUCCUUCAAGGCAGAAAUGUGCUGAUACUGAGUUUGUAUAGCUACAUGUUUUACAAAAUAAUAACAACCACAAUUUAGAUUUUCUGAAAAUACUGGUAUCUUUAGCAUCUUUCCAUUUAUUAGUUACUGGUGCUCUUUUAAACUAACUUUCUCCAAUAUAUCUGCCCUGCUACCAAGAACAACAGAAAAAUAAACCUUAUGACCUAGAAACCUAAAUUCUGAUUUUAGCUUAUUUCAUGAUCAUAAAUAAUUAAAAUGACAACAACUCCAAACCUUUUUAAUGAAAGGCAAAAAAGGGUUGAAGCACUGAAACUCGAAUAAUAUCAAGAGUCUCUUUGUGGAUGGCAUUUGGGGAAGGUCAAGCUGUAGGGUAUAAUACAGAAGGUUGAGAUGGCAAGAUUCAUUUUCCACUAGUGUAUGAAUGCUUUUUGAAAUUUUAUUUCAUAUUUUUAUCAUUUUGUUUUACUCUUGAUUUAUCUUAAAAGAGAAGUAAGUACAUGGAAUGCUGUAAUGUCCUGAAGUUAUUAAUACCUGACAUAGAAAGUAAAGUCUCUCCUCUCUGAUAACCUGGAUGGCACCUGGUCCCUUUAUCUUAAAAGAAAGUUCACCCCACUUCUUCUAGAAUUUUCUCAACAUUAUCUAUGUACAUAUAAUGCAACCAUUGGGGCUUUUCUAUGCCUGUCCUUACUCUGAAUAAUGACACGUAGCCUUAUUUUUAUUAAUGUAUGUCUUAAGCUAGAUUUGUUCUCAACUAACUUGUAACUCAGUUAUCCCAUUUAUACUACUCUAAGUUGUGCCAUGUGGCUAGUUACCUCUCCUUAGUUUCGUAUGGCUGACUUCCUCUGUCUCGGUGAGAGUCUCCUGCCUCUGACUCUUUCCCAGAGUUCCUCCCUCUGCUGGACCUCCUUACCAUCUUCCUCCCACCUUACCAUCCUGCCUUUUGCUGUGAGCCAUAGGCUUUUCUAUUUUAACCCAUCAGAAGGCGCCUUUGGCAGGCAGUGAAGGACAGAGGCACAUCCUCCAACAGUGAACAAAACCAUCAGUCCAACAAUAUAAACUAACACCCAUGUACACACCAACACAUCUCUACACAGCUAAUAUUUAAUUCCUUCUUGUAAUGUGAGGAAAGCUCAGAACGUAACAGCCCCACAAAUUUUCAAAGAGCAAAUGGCAGGGUUUGGAGUUGAGCACAAAUCUGUCUGAAUCUAAAACCCACACAAAAGAAAAUGAUCUCCAAAGUUUCACCCAGGAUAUCUCAACUCCAUUUGCUCAUCAUCAAAGCGUGUUUCCUUCACUUGGUCAUCUGGAAACUAGAUUUAAAAAAGUAGAUUACUAAGAUGUUGUAUGUGUUCUUUUUUUUUUUUUUUCUAGAAGGUACUUUGAAGCAAAAACUGAGGUAGCAUUUGGAAAGCUAGACCUGUUGAUGAUUAAACUCCAGUCCGUGUGCAUUCAUGUGCAAUCAAUAAAGAAAACAUCAAAGACCCAAGUUUUGCCUUUUCCUCUUGCCUAACUGAGGUUAUCCAAUUAGAAAACACUUGAUUUUAAUCCUUAUGAGAAAUUUCUAAAUUCUUGUUUUGCUUAGACCUCUGUUAAAUAUUUAGACCUACCUCAUCUUAGUCUCUUAAGGGGAACAAAAUACACAUAUCCAUUGCUACAAAGAAUACAAUCUGCCUACUUUCAACUGUGAAUCUAAUUUUAAAAUGAAGAAUUAGAAUUACUUUUGAAGUCUUUAGCUUCUAUGGUCUAUUAUGUAAUUUGUGCAAUGUGUCUGUAUAAUUUGUGUCCUUGGUUUCAAUAUUAAUAUAUGUUGAUAUUCAUUUCAUUUUGUUAAGAUUAUGUUUCCCUGGGUGCUCUCUUUUAAUAACAUUCCAGUCUUUGACUUCAAUAAAAUCAUAAUGAAAAUCUUGUUAACUGUAGCAUGAAUGCAGACCUGGAAAAAUUGCCAUUUUAGCCAGGUAGUGAACAUCUUUCUCUGGUAAGUGUCAGUUGCCUUAUGGAAGAGCACAAGUGCUAUAGGAUCAGAUAUAUAGGGCAUGGUCUCCAUUUUCAAAAUCAUCAUUCAGUAGAAAAGAGAGGGUAGAAAAAAUAAUUUUGUUUCAGAGCCUUGGGGGCCUAUAAAUGGAGCCCUGCAGAGUACAAAGAGACAGAUAACAAAGAGACAGGGUGAGACAGGGUUAUGACUGCAUAUCAAGGGCAUGGAAACUAGAAAGAAAGAUAUUCAUGCAAGGGAGGCAAUAGGGUAAGCAGAGGGCAUAGACUUAUCCUUAAAGGAAGUAAUAAAUGCUAUUAAGGAAAAAUAUCAUAAUACCGGCCGCAAGUAAAAUUACAGUGAUUACUAAGCCUGGAAAUUGGAGGCCACUGGAACCAAACUCAGUUAUGCUAUCACGGUAUGAAUCUAGCAGGUACAUUUAUUUGUGUUCCAGUGCUUAGCUACAAUCCCAGAACUUCAAGAUAAACAUUGUGUCAUAUUGAAGAUUGGCUUCAUGCUAGUAUCUGGUGUGGUGAGGCAUAAGUGUGCAUAAAUUACAAAGAAACCUUCCUACACUCAGCGGAUGUUGCUAAGAAUCUUCAGUAACUGGGCCAGACAGAGAUGUGACAGACUGAGAUGAGGGGAGAACACAGGAAAAGUGGAUGAGGUCACUGUGAUGACUGUUCCUGAUUGUCAUCUUGACUACAUCUGGAAUGAACUGCAAUCCAGAAAUGGAGGACAUACCUGUGAUCCAGAUCUUGAGGCUGGAAGACAUGGACUUCCAACCCAAAUUGUGACAUGGGAUGACACACCUGUGAUCCAGAUCUUGAGGCAUAAUGGCCAUGAAAAGGUAAAACACAGGCUAGGCAGUACACCCCUUUAAUCUCAGGAGACCAGGACAAGCAGAUCUCUGAGUUCAAGGCCAGCCUGGAACAGAGCAAGUUCCCAAACCAGGCAGUGUGGUACACGCCUUUAAUCUGAGCCACACCUUUUGCUGGAGUCCUACAUAAGGAUGAUGGAAGAAGGAAAACUCACUCAUAUUUGCCUGCUUGCACUUACUUGUCAGCAUAUCUGUUGGAACCUACUUCUUCAGGAUUCCAGUUUCUGCAGAAGACCAGCUGAAACACCCAGCCUUGUGCACUGAGCAACUACUAGAUUCAUAGACUGCCAUUUGGCAGAUGCCUAUUAUUGGACUAAUACAGACUGUAAAUCAUUACGAUAAAUUCCCUUAAUAUAUAAAAAUAUUCCAUAAGUGCUGUGACUCUAGAGAACCCUGAUUAAUAUAAUCACACAGACAAAUUCUGUGACCUUUGUCUCACAGAGCUCAUGUGAAUGGGCUCAGAGUACCAGACAGAAGAGGCCUACGUCUCUAGUGAAGUUUCUUCUUGCUUGCCCUAGCUAGUACACCCUAUUAAAGUGUUCUUAUCACAUCCAUCCACCCGACUUCAAGUUCCACUAAUCUGACUGUUGCAUUUCUUUAAUCUAGAAUAUUCUUGAUUCGCCAGAUCUAUACCUCCAGUGACACUCUGACCCAGAUCUCUGGAUCUCAAAAUCUUCCCUUGUGUGAGAGCCUCUGGCUAACUGACUGAAAGGAUGGUAAACUCAUAGUAUUGAAUAUGGCUUGACCCAGGCUAUUCUCUACUAACACAGAUAAAGCUAAAUACAUUUGUAUGUGGGUAAAUAAAAGGAAUCAAGACAUAAAAGGCUGUGCAAAGGAGGUGGGACAGUUUGAGUUUUAAAAAUGUGUUAUCAUGGCACCAAAAUAAACCAAUCUGUCCCGAUAAAUGUUAUAUUAAUAGGCAUCUCCAAUAAGGAUCUAGGUAGAGUGAAAUGUCAUUGCUAUGGUGACUUCAGUCUCAGGAGAAUUGAAAAUAACCCACGUGAGUGCACAGAGCAGACCUUUGACUGACACAUAUAUUUAGUCAGGAGGUCCUUUGCUGCGGAGGCCAGGAGGGAUGUUUCAAUGUACUGCAGAUUACAAAAUAGGUCUUACCAAAGAAAAGGGAAGCCUCUGUGAGGGAACAACUUAUUUUUUAAAAUAUCCCAAAUAAGCAGGAUAAACAUAGCAUCUGUCUGAAAAAGACACUUUCCAUUUCUCUUUGCCAAAACUCUCAAACUGACCUCUCACUGUGGCAGCACAGGGCAAGAGAGCAACAUGGCCGCGGAGUCCUCCACGGCGCAAAAGCAACAACAGACUGAAUGGAAAAGCUCUCCGUGACAGGCAUUUGUGUUUAGACUUUAUGUCAUGUUUGUUGUUGGUUUUGGGCUGAGACCAGGCUGGUGGAAUUUUUAGUACUGCUUAUGACAUUGAAAGGCACUUGAAAUUUCUAGAAUACAUCAAUCAUCUGAAAAAGAAGAUUACAAUCUGUCAAACUGCGUUCCUUUCCAGUUCAAUUGACUUAUAGACAACUCAGUGAGCUAACACUAAUACAGAAUAUAAGCAUGGACAUACACAAUCAGAUUUAAAAAAAGAUACACAAAUGCUCUGAAGGGAGGUGUAGGGAAAUAUUCUAUCACACUAUGAUUACAAAAUAAAAACAGGUUGGAAUUUCAAAUUGUUAACUAUGCCAUCCCAGAACUUCCUAACUUAUAGGAAAUGUUUUAAAAGAUGCCCAUAGUUAGCUACGAGGCUUCCUUUAGUUAGCAUGGCAGGAUAAGUCUCUAUUAAUGGUAAUGUGUAGGAGAAGUUCAUCAGGGUCCACUGGGUUUCAGGCUUUUCUAAAAAUCAUUCGCGUGCAGAGCUAAGAACUAAGUACAGGGCCAGACAUUGACUUGAUCCUUUUAGAAUCAGGAUACAUUCACUUUGCUUCUCCAUGAUUGCAUAACGUGCAAUUUUUAAAAGGAACGGUAGUAUCUUAAGUUAGAACUAUUACCAGUAAAUGAAUAAAAUUUGCAAAAUGACCAGAGGGGAUUAUUAAGCCUGGAUAUGGAAAAAAAGUUAAACAAUUCAAGCAAAAAUAAGACAGAAGAAACAAGAAAGGUCCAGACCUGGGCCUGUAACCACAUUAGCCAGCCUUCUGAGACAGAUGCAGCCAUGUUACGACCAGAUCACAAAGCACAUUCCCCACUGCAGUGAGUGAAGUGGAUCACGUUCAUAAGUCAUAACGAGGCAGUUAUAGCUUCAAUCCACAGUUGUUAUGUCAUAAUCAGUUUUAAAGAGUUGACUCUGAUAAUAAGAAGAAAAUUGAACUAGUCUAAAGAGAUCAUUAGAGGAGACGUGGUUAAUAUAGAUGGGCUAGAGAAUGGCAAAUUAGAAAAGCACUGACAUUGGACAUUUACGUCCCAUUCUUUCUUUCAUGCUAUCUAACAAGGGAUGGGGACUCAGAAAAUACCGGUCAGCUAAAAUAGUCUAUAAACAUUAAGUUCGUAAGAAAUUGCAUUUGGGACUCUGCAGUUUAUCAAGGUUCACAUUUUUACAGGUUCUAGGAGAAAAUUAAGGAUAUUUGAAAACUAUCCUGAAUAAUGGCUAAAUCUUCAAUGCUGGCAGUCAGAAAAAAAGACAAUAAUGUAUUUUUGGACUAAAUACAUAGGGCUCUGUUUUCCUUGCAUACGCAAGUUUAAAUACAAAAACAUAUUUAUUUAACUUUGCGAAGUAUGGUUCAGACUAUCGCUUGAAGUGUCCCUGCUUUAAUGAUGCUGUCCCUCCCUCCCUGGAGACCAUCCUAACAGGGACUUCUCACUAUGGUUUGAGCUCUAAUGUGACAAUGUAGUCCCAGGGAAGGGAUUUAAGAGGUAAAGGAACCACUUAGAAAUGGGUAUAGUGGGUGUCCUUAGGUCACUGCAGGUUCUAUCCUGCAGAGGAAAUUCUGGUCUCCAACAGUGAUCUCUUGAUUCUGCCCCUCCUGUAUUCUGGUUUCCUGUUUUAUCGUACAGUUUCCUACUCUUCUGUGCUUUCCACCAUACUGCAUUUAAGCUCACCAGAAACCAAAUCAGUAGGUCUCCUCAAGCCUGGAUAUCCAGACUCCAAAGCUCCAAGCUAAAUAAAGGUCUCUUAAUUUUUUUUAAAUUAUUAUUAAUGUGUGGUUCCAUUUGUGUGCAUUUGCAUGUACACAUGCCACAGUGCAGAUACAGAGGUAAGAACACAAGCUUUUGGAGUUGGUUCUCUUCCACUGUAGGUUCCAGGAAUUCAACUCAGUUCAUCCACUGAAGUGCACGUUAAUAAAUCAGGUUUUGCUUUACAAAGAAGAGAAAAUCAAAAGACUUUUUCUUUUUAUAGCACUGCCCUGUUUUCCACUUUAUAACUCAAUUGCAGCAUGAAUGAUGAAAGCUUAGAGACCUUAAGUUACAAUUUUGUGGGGGGUCUUUUAGUGGACAAAUUAUUGUCACCAGAUCUAAGAGGAAAAAAAAAUAUUGUCAGAACUCUUCAGCUUUCAUUUUGUCCUCUGGCUGUCCCUUACAAUGGUAACCACCAUUCUUACUUCAAACACCAUAGAAAUGAACUCAGUAAAUCGAGAUUUGCCUGUUGUUUUUGGAUUGAUAUGGCUGAAAUUAUGCUGUAUGUCCCCUUGGGUGUUUUUGUUCUGCAUUCAUCAUUGUCCUUGAGAGACGGUUGCUAGUAAAUGCAAUUUGUUCCCACGUUUUUCAGGGCACUUGAAUAAUUCUAAGAACUAUGGGAGGUAAUGUUUCCACCCAACAGCAUUAUCUAUGUCUUUGAAUGAUUUUUUUAAAUAAUAAAUGAUUCCAAAGAAGUUACUUACAGAAAAUUAUUGUUGAUAAUCUAUAGAAAAUGCUUGUGUAUAGCCUUAAUUCUCUAGGUAUUGUAUUUUUACUUCAGAAUGAGUAGAAGUGAAGUGACCGUUCAGAGGAAUGUCCGCAUGAAGGGCCUGAUGCAUAAUUUACAAGAAACAGGACAAAGAGAAAAUGUCAAGGCUUCAUUAUUUCUUCUGUUUUAUAUAAAAUACAAUUACAUUAAAAUAAAGAAGACAACAAAAAUCACAAUCAUUAAAAUGAAUUUUAUCUCUUAAGUUGGGUAUGUUGUUUCAGGUAUAUGUGUCUGUAUGAGCAUGUACAAUUGUGUGUGUGUGUGUGUGUGUGAGAGAGAGAGAGAGAGAGAGAGAGAGAGAGAGAUCUAUACACUCAUGUACAUUUGUGUAAGAACACAGUUGUGUAUGUGAACAAUGGCAUACAUCAGAGGGCAACCUCAAGUUUUUGUCCUGGCUUUUCACCAUGGACAGGGUCUCUUCACUGUUCUUCUCUGUUGCAUGGGCAUCUCCUAUGGGCUUCUGGGAUUGCCCUUUCUUGACCUCCCGUCUCUCUAAGAGAGACCCAGACAUUGAGAUGCUUUGGCUAUGCAGCAGGCCUACAUAGGUUCUGAGAAUUAGAACAUAUAUCCUCAUGAUUAUACAGCAAUCCCUUUAACCCGCUGAGCCACACAUCUUCCCAGCCUAACAAUAUCAAUUCUGCAUGCAGCCACAAGAAUACUCAUGCAGAAUUGUCAAGAUUUCAUAAUUAUAAUUAAAGGGCCCUGAUUUUGCAAUGAGAACACAAGCUAGACAAGGAAACCUGGAAAAGGCAACAGAGAGGCUUCCUUUCCUACAAGUCUACAUCCCCACUCUAGGAGACAACGCACCUUGAUUUAAAACCAUGAUGUUUUCAUUUUAAUGUUAGCCUGAAGUUUAUCCUUGAAUCCCUACUUUAUAAGUGAUGUAACUCAGUGGGACAUGGCAUAUGUACCGAGACCUUGACUCUAAGGCAUCUCUUGCUGGAUCCUCAUGUGGCUCAAACCCUGCCUGUCUUCUCCAUCUCUUCUGUCGGCCCUGGCUAGUAACCACUGCUACAUUUUAGUAGGUGGGGAAAACAGUCCAUUGUAUCCUUGGAGGAACAUGUGUAAGAGGAAAGGGAUGUCCAUACUCUCUGGAUGCUUCCAACAAUAGCAGAAUGUUGGGCACAGGAAGUUUCAGGCCAGGGUGUAGCAGUAACUGUCUUGGUCAUGGGGUGACAGCAAGGCAGCCCACUUUAAAGAUUGUUAGUGACCUUUAACCCAAGAGACUACACAAUUUAUAGACUCAUGAGGCCACCUCCUGGUUCACAAAGGCCACUGACAACUUACUAUUGUAAAAGAGAACGUAAAUAUCCUCUAUAUAGAACCCUCCAGAUCUUUGUUUUCGUAAAUGUACAUAAAGACUAAUGUGAAUACACAAUCACAAGAAUGAAGAAUACACUAAAAAUACACUAUCUAGGGAUAAUGGGGGGUGGAGGAUCCAUAGCUUGACCAGAAGGAAGACAGAACAGGAACUUUGUAAGAAAAGAGAGUUGAAAAACAGGAACAGCCUGCCAGAACCAGAGGUCAAAGUCUGGUGACUCAGCUGAGAUAGGCAGGGGCAGGAAAUUUCCAGGAGGCUUGGAAGUCAAGCAUGUUCUGAGACAGAAAGCAGUAGCAGUCCAUGCUUGUGAACUGAAGUCUGUCAGAGAUCCGGCAGGCCAGAUAUCUAAAUGUAAAGGCAGUGACAUAUAUAAAAUGCAAUUACAUUUAAAGAAUUACCAUCCUCGUAAUGCUUAUUAAUUCAGCUAAUGAACCAUCUAAUGUAUCCAAGUUGCUUAUAGUCCGGACUGUUUGCCCUUUAUACAAAUGUAUUAAUGACUGAGGAAGUCAGCAGGUCUCUGCCACAUCAAGAGAGAUGGUCAUGCAUGGUCUGCUUCCAGAAGGUUUUUCUGACUCUAGGUAGAUGCAAUUAAACCACAGAUUCAAAUUACUGCUGCCCAGCUUGGAGUUAUCUUAGCAAAUCCUGCCUCUGCCUGGCCAGAUAUUCUAAGGUUCUGUGGUAUCAUCUAAGCGGCAUGGGAGAAAACAGACCUCACAGAGCUGUGAACAAUAGAAACACUCACCAGGAGGUCAGUGAACCUGUGGGAAGGCAUAACAAGAUGGGCAUGCAGACUGAGAGGGCCUUUAUGGUAGUAGGCUUGGAUUCUUCAUGUAAUUUGUAGUGAGGAGCAUGACUGGAAGGCACCAAAGCAGGGACUAGAUAGUGCCCCCUCUGAGCCAGCUCUUAGGACAGCCCUCACCAUUUCUCACCACCAUCAUCUUCACAGACCUGCUCCUCCACUUGCCUUUAGAUUCUUUCUGUACUCAGACUCGUAGGACUGUUCUCAAGGAAUGCGGCUGGUCUUUACAACUGUACAACCUACAUAGCUUCUCUUUAUCUAGUGAGAUAUGUAAAUCCAGAGCUGGCUUCUGCAGGAUAUGCAUUUUGCAUUUUCAUGUUUCAGUGGUAUUGCCAGGAGGCACAAUAAAUGAUAGGCUGCACUCUUCUUGGACUAUUAUUGUUUUUUUUUCUUCUGGUUAUGAUAGCAUUGCAAAGAGGUAUAGUGAAUGACAAGAGGGUAUCCUUCAUAGGGUAAUUUGAAGAGAAGCUGACUCUUAAAAGUCCUAAACAUAACUUCACUAACUUUGCCAUCCAUCAAAAGAUGGAUCCAUCUAACUCUCUGCUUUCAGGGUAACCUAAGUUUCCUAUUGUUGUUUGAAUCACCAUCUUUGGGGGGAGGUUUUCUUGUUUGUUUUGGGUUUAUAGGUUUCCAUGAGCUUUAUAUGAAUGUAUUAAUGACUUAGGAAGUCAGCAGGUCUUGGCCACCAUUGGCAGAUAUUGUUAAAACUGAAUUAUUUAGCUUGAAUGAAGGAAAACUCAGCACCAGGGUAUAAGAAAAAUCUCCCAACAGGGUGAUGUCAGAGGAAAGUCCUAUCUUGGUUUGGGAGGAGCAUUCCCAUGUCUGUCACAUAUGAGUCAUUUCCUUGGAGGCUUUUAGACGCCAGCCUUGGGGCAUCAGCUUUCCACUGUAUCAGUCACAGUCAUUGGCUCUGGGCUUCUCAGUGUGACAGCCAUGACUAUCGCUCCUUCUCUGCAGACCAGAAAGACUUUAAUGAACUGUGUAAAAUUACUGCUUCAAGCAACGAGUCUGAACUCAUAAAAUACUUAAUAUAGAAUUAAAGUGAGAUACUCAAGUAAUUUAAGUUUACAUUUAAUUCUCAGAGAAAAUAGGAAGGAGAAUAGAAAGAAAGACAUAAACAGAAAUAAAAUUAAAAAAAACACAGCUAUCAAAAAAAAAACCACAUUCAAUUUACUGUAGAGUUACAUUCAAUUCCCUGUAAAGUAACAUUUUGUUUGUGUAAGAAAAAAUGUUAAUUUUCUUUUUAAUUGUGUGGGUGUCCAACCCAAUUGCCAGCUGGACUAAGAAGCUGCUGCAGGAGUUUACAUAAGAAGUGGCAGAAAGCAUUUAUUUUAGAUAAGAUUUUGAAAACAAAACGCAGCUGUUGCAUUCAGUUAAGGAGGGAAAACAUUUUGUCUACAGUGGAGGACACACCAUUAGCCAAUUUGGCUAUUAAAGCAAGGACUUUAAAAUCAUUUACAAAAGUCAGCAGCUUGAUCUUGUGCAUUGCAUACACGAGGCAUGAAUACCUGAACAGUACAUUUUAUUUGGACUGGGCCCAGGAGUUUUAGUGUGUGAUAACUACAAAGUAGGACUUAUUAACAUAGGAACAUUUAAAAAAAUAUGUGUAUGUGUAUAUAUACACACACAUAUAUAUCUAUAUUCAUAUAUAUAUGUAAUCUAUCUCUAGAGAUUAUAUAAUAAUCUCUAUUUAGAUUAUAUAAUAAGAUUAUCUCUAGAGAUUAUAUAAUAAUCUCUACCUAGAUUAUAUAAUAAUCUCUAAAGAGAGAUUUAUAAAAUGUACUGGCUAGUUUUGUGUCAACUUGACACAAGCUGGAAGCCUCAGUUGUGGAAAUGCCUUCAUGAGAUCCAGGUGUAAGGCAUUUUCUCAACUAGUGAUCAAGAGGGGAGGACCCAGCCCAUUGUGGGUGGUGCUGUCCCUGGGCUGGUACUCUUGGGUUCAUAAGAGAGCAAGCUGAGCAAGCCAGGGGAAGCAAGCCAGUAAGAAACAUCCCUCCAUGGCCUCUGCAUCAGCUCCUGCUUCCUGACCUGCUUGAGUUCCAGUUCCUGACUUCCUUUGGUGAUAAACAGCAAUGUGAAUGUGUAAGCUGAAUAAACCCUUUCCUCCCCAACUUGUUUCUUGGUCAUGAUGUUUGUGCAGGAAUAGAAACCCUGACUAAGACAUAAAACUAUAUAAAAUAUGACCUCGGAGGAAUGUUAUCUAAUUAUUUUAGUACUCAAUUUUCUACAGAAAAUCCUAUAACAAAAAUUAAGAUGUGUAAGGACAUCAAGCAAGGAAAAUCUUCUAAUAAAUUAUCAGCAUGCAUUUAUUAUUUUGUACGUCAAUUGAAAGAGGCAAAAGUUCCAGCAUACUGGCCACACAGCAAGCCAGGAUUCUCCAGUCUCCUCUCCAGGGUUGGGGUUAUAGGCACCUACACUUGAGCUUGGCCUUUUAUAUGAGUGCUGGGGAUCUGAACUCAAGUCCUCAUGCUUAUUUGGCAGACACUUUAUAACUGAGCCAUCUCUACAAACUCCUGUUUCCUAAACUUAAGGAGUUAUUAAUUACUUAGACCUUCAACAUUUAUGGGCAUUAGGAGCCUGUGGUGGUUUGAAUGAAAAUGGCUUCCAUAGACUUAUAGGGAGUGACAUCAUUGGAGGUGCGGCCUUGUUGAGGUAGGUGUGGCCUUUUGGAAGAUGUGUGUGUGUGGGGGGGGGCGGGGUUUGAGGUUUUAGAAGCUCAAGCCAGGCCUAGCGUCCCUCUUUCAUCCUGCUGCCUGCAAAUCCAGAUGUGGAACUUGCAGCUUCUCUCUAGUGUUGCCUGUGCUUAACCAGCCCCAAUUCAGUGUUUUCCUUAUUAAGAUUUUCCAUGGUCAUCAUAAGUGACCACAGUAUCCCUUCACAGCAAUAGAAACUCUAACCAAGACAGAGUCUAAAUGCAUGUGAAAACUGCAAAAUUCUUUGGUGUAAAGGGAGAUUUAUUAAAAUAAGUAUCUUUCUGGGAUGCGAACGUGAGCAUGUUUACUGUCUGCUUUUCAUCUGGACUCAUAUUCUGGAACUUUGCCUCUCGAUUGACAAUAACAAAUGCAUGCUGGUAAUGCCUUAGAAAUUUUUCUUUGCUCGAAAUGCUAACAAGCCUUGAUAUUUUGUUAUGGGAUUUUCUGUAGGACACAAUGGAGUAUUAAGAUAAUGUCACUUCACCUCCUCUGAACAUUUAAUUACCAGUGGGACUCUGCAGAUGUUGCUUCUUCCUUUUUAUUCUGUACACAUUGUCACCAUAAGGCAACGGGUAACAUCUACAAUUACAGCAUAUAUCCCUUCAAAACGGAGAACAUACUCCGAGCCUAUGGAGCAUAUAACACCCCAUCAUGGUAAAAGGGCAGUAAGCCUACGUUAUUCACAAAACUCUUACAGCUUUUCUUUCUUUCUUUUUCUUUUACUGAAUAUGUUUUAUUUACAUUUCAAAUGUUAUUCCCUUUCCCGGUUUCCUGGACAUAAGCCCCCUAUCUCAUCCCCCUACCCUUCUUCUUUAAGGGUGUUCCCCUUUUCUUUAUAAUAGUUGCAUUUCAAGUCAGGCUUCUUAUCAAAUCAUCUUUAGACUACCAUUCAACACUUUCAAGUUGAAGAUAGAUAUUUGUAAUGGGGGGGUAGGUUUUAGAACAAAUUGAAAGCUAAGGCCAGUAUCAUUGUCAUAGGGAAUAGCCUGAAUGAAAACCCCUUGUAUAACUGGCCUUAAGAAAAAUAGGAGCCUGAUAUAGCUGUCUCCUGAGAGGCUCAGCCAGAGCAUGACAAAUACAGAGGCGAAUGCUAGCAGCCAACCAUUGGACUGAGAACGGGGUCCCCAUUGGAGGAAUUAGAGAAAGGAACUGAAGGGAUUUGAAACCCUAUAAGAACAAUACCAACCAACCAGAGCUCCCAGGGACUAAACCACUACCCAAAGAGAGUUCACAUGGACUGACCCAUGACUCCAGCUGUAUAGCCUUGUUGGGCACCUGUGGCUUGGUCCUGCCAAGGCUGGGCCCCACAGCGUAGGGGAAUGUCAGGGCAGGAAGGCAGGAAGGGGUGGGUGGAUGGGUGGGGGAACACCCUCAUAGAAGAAGGGGGAGAGGGAUGGGAUAGGGAUUUAUGGACAGGAAACUGGGAAAGGGAAUAACAUUUGAAAUGUAAAUAAAAAAUAUCCAAUAAAAUUACUUUUCUUAGAAAGAAAGAAAGAAAGAAAGAAAGAAAGAAAGAAAGAAAGAAAGAAGGAAGGAAGGAAGGAAGGAAGGAAGGAAGGAAGGAAGGAAGACCUGAUAAUAAACAGUCAAUUGCUUACCAAGAUUUCUGAGGGACACAGAAAAUUAAUGCAGUUUUAGAACACAAAUAAGUAAAGAGAUUUUAGAUAACAUUCAAAUAUUAGCACCGAAUAUUACCUCGAACACAAUUUCAAAAUGAAAACUGGAAUCUUAUUGGUUGUAGAGAGACGGCUUAGUAGUCACAAGUGCUUAGUGCUCUUGCAGAGAACUGCAGUUUGGCUCUAGGAUUCACGUCUGGACUCACAUCUGGAAGCUCUCAGCUGCACUGUCUGCAGGUGUAUGGAUUCUGACCCCAUCAUCUGACACUCAAGCGUGCCUCCAUGCUCACACUCCCACACAUCCAAGCAGAUACGCACAGAAUAAGAACCAAAAAAAAAAAAAAAGAAAAAAGAAAAAAGAAAAAAAGAAAAAAACAGAAAGCCUGGAAUCUUAGUCCAAACUUGUUCCUUUGGUUUGUCAGUGACCUGCCCCUGUUUAGGUGCAGCACUGGGACAUUUCCUAACGAUACAGACUCCAGGACUGUGUCUUCAAACCACCGAGGUGAACUGAUGGAUCUCACAUUGUUAAUAAGAUUCCAGAAACCACCACUCAGCCAACCUACAUUUGAGGUAUUAAGUCAGUUCGCAGAUUGAAUUUUUGAUUUCACUCUUCUCUUGGUAAAAAUAAGCAAAUACUUAAAUUUGAAAAAGAAAAGAAUGUGUCGAGGUCCUUUGUUUUGUUUAUAUUUUUACGACAUUGUUUUUAAGUGAAUAAACAUAUAUUCAGUAAAUAGUAAUGGGAUAGUAAUAGAAAAUAGAAUAGUAAUAGAAAAUAGUAAAUAAAUUUGGUAUCUUCCACAUUUUUAAAUGGCUAUUGUGUUUAAAAUAGUAUAUUUGUUUGUAUAGUUUGAUUAACUUCUGUUUGUGAGUUUUUGCAACAUUUCUUGCGAUGAAGUACAAAGUUUUUUUCAGGUUUUCUUUAAAGUGUGUGUGUGUGUGUGUGUGUGUGUGUGUGUGUGUGUGUGUGUGUGUGUGUGGUGUUGGAGAGGGGUGGGCCAAUGAGUGCAUGACUAUGGAGGUCAGAAGAGGUUGUCAAUCUCUUGGAGAUGGAGUUACAAGUAAUUGUAAGCUUCUCAACAUACGUGCUGGGAACAAAACUCAGAACUUCUUAAUGAGCCAUUUCUCCAGUCCCAGGAAUUGUAUUUUAACUCAUGCUAAUAUCCAAUAUCCAUCAAUUCUUCCCAUAAACACAGGAAGAGAAAAUAAAUGCAGUACACAUGUUCACCCAUCAAACUCAUGGCAAUCUCAUGAAUUGCUGAAUCAUGUUAAAACAAAUAUGUUUGUUCUGAUGUUUACAAGUUAGAAACCCACCCCAUUUAUGACUAAAUCAAUUUUGCAUGUUAGCCUUGGCUUAUAUUGCAGAGUGGAAAAUGAGUGUAAGUACUCAAAUAUUUCUUCAAAUGUCAAAUAUUUGUAAAGCUAUGCCAAAUGGUUGUCGUUUUAAAGGAAUGUUUCAAUCAAAUUGUAAAUAAAUGGAGCUCAUCUUUAUACAUUUUAUGUGCUAAUAAUUCUAGGUAAAACUUCUUCUACCUCAAUAUGUCUCUGAAUUUUACAUGUACCCAUUAACACAAAAGCCAUUGCUAUCAAGAUUCAAUUUCCAAAGCAUCUUUUUUUUCCUCACAAAUAAUCUCAUGGUAAUUUACAUUCUUUAUUUCUUUAUUAUUAUUGUGUGUGUGCAUGUAUAAUAUGUGUGUUUAAGCAUGUGUACCACAGUGCACAUGUGAAGGUCAAAGGACAGCUGUAUGGAGUCACUUCUCUCUUAUUCAUUUAUGUAAGGUCCAUGGAUUGCACGCAGGUCACCAAGCUUGUAUGUCAAGUACUACUGCUUUCCUGAGCCUCUCAUCAGCCCUCGUGUUAAAUUUUUUAAUGUUUAUAAUUUAAAGUAGAGUUUUGGCAUAUAAACUGUUUCCAUAACAACUCUUCAUUUCACUGGGGUUUCUUCAUCAUGACACUCAAAGUUACAAUCUAAUUGCAAACACAUUUUUAAAAACCUCAGAUUUGAUUUCAAAUCAUUAUCCCUCUUAAAGUGGUCUGUUCGAAAUAUUUUGAAGUCCUAUUCUGUUAAAGACUUGAAGAGACAGGCUUUACUAAUUAUUUUAAAGACUUACUAAUAUUCUAGAUAGGUGAGUUCAAGUUAAGAAAUAUUUAACAUACAAGAGUUGUAUAAUUUGCAAGCAAAUAUAAGUGAUUUCGAUUAUCGAAAGAGACUUUAGGCUACUCUGACUAUGAAACUGCUCAACUAUGCAAACCUGAGAGGCAUUUGUGUGCUUUGAUUGAGAUGUUCCCUAUAGUCUCAAGCAUUUGAAUACUUGGUCCCAGUUGCUGGUACUGUUUGGGUUCCUUUAGGAGGUCUGGCCUUGUUGGACAGGAUGUGGCACUGGAACCCUGCUUGGGGGUUACAAAAGUCACACCCCAUUUCCUGUGGCUCUCUCUGCUCACUAUUUGCUGUUCAGUUCUUUCAGUAGUGUCUAUCUGCUGUUACGUUUCACCAUAGAUGGUGAGGGACUCUUAGCCCUCGGACACCAAAGCCCCCAAGAAGCCAUUCCCCUUGUAAGAUGCCUCAAAUGUUUUAUCACAGCAAGAGAAAAGCAACUAAUACAGUAUUAUGUAAAAUUACUGAAAUUCCAGAAACAAUGGAUUUGAAUAGCAACUAGAGAACACUUUAAUGAUAACAAAUCCUUCAACAGCACAACAGACUAAAGGGAAAAGAAAAGCAAGAUUGCAUAGCCCUGGAGAUAUACACUAUGUUACAUAGACUUUUGUCUCUAAUAUAUUAAAGACUUUACUGCUAAUUAGUAAUUGUUAACUUGUUGAUACUAAAACAGAGACUUCUCAUUGAUUUCUUAUGAUUGGAUAAUUUUAUGAUAGGUGAUGCUUUCUAUUUUAUUUUGGCUUUUGAGAUAGGAUCUUGUGUGACCCAGACUUACUUUUCUCCAAUAUGUAAUCCUCCUGUUUCAGUUUCCGUGCCCAACUCAUGAUGAGUUAUUCUCGUAAUUGAUAUUCAGUGGAAGAAAGAGAAAGAGAGAGGCUGCAGGUGCUUUGAUAAUAAAGGAGGGCCAGGUCAGUGCGAACUAACUUACUCCACUUCGUCUUAGUUAAAAAGUUGAGAAUCAAGGAAACCAGUGCUCUAAACUGUAAACUGACUUCCAUACUUCGCCUAAAACCCAUUUGUCUCUUUAAAUGAGAUCAGUAAGAAAGGCUGAGAUAAUAGUAUUGUAUGGAUCAACACAGACUCAUGAGCCAUCUUGUAGAGUAGGAACGCAGCACACAAUAUUAAAAGACCAAAUUGUAUGGGAAGUCUGUUUCCCACAGUUUUUGACAGUUUCAAAAACGUGGGGGCAUUUUGACUUUUUAUUUGUCUGUUUGUUAUUUCUUGAAGACCAUUAUCACCUAAAUAAGUAAAUAUAUCACUACCUAUUACAAGUCCUAAUAAGAAUAAUUCUCUAAUGUCCUAUUUAAAGUACUUAUGGGAACUUUCUAUAUUUGUAUGGGAUUUCUCUGGGUGUUAAUUGGAAAUAAUUUAAAUCUAAACAAGAAAAGAAGUUGGGUAGCAGUAGCAUAUGCCUAGGAUCCUAGCACUCAGGCCAAAGCAGGAGGAUCACAAAUUCAGGGCAAGCCUAACUGACAUAGUGAGAUGUAGGCUAGCUUAGGCUACUGCUAUCUCUUGUAACCAUCACAGAGGUAGGUACAGAAUUGUAAAAACAAAAACAGAAGUACUGUAUUUCUUCACCAAAGCAAUUUUUUUACAAACAAGACAUGAACUCACAGCAGCUAUGGCUAUAUUUACAAGAACUGCGGGAGAUCAAGCCAACCUGAAUCCCAGCAUGGAUCAGGGGAGGGGGCUCGUGAACCCCAUUCUUAGCAGAGGAGCUGUUGAUACAGUUUCUGGGUGGGUAGAAUGUUGCAGUAGUAGAAGUAGUGUUGUUGUUUUGUUGUUGCUGUUUCAGGGAUGUGACCCUGCUACUCAUGUCCCAAUAGAAGGACCUAAAUGACACACACAUAGACAGCCCUAAGUGGACCCAGGAGACUUUUUCAAAGCCUACAAUGAAGCUGGUUGUGAAAAGCAGUGGACAGGAUAUGCACGCAAUUAAAGAGGAGGGAUUAGGGAUUGGAUUUAAUUUUUUUAAGUUUGUAAACAGAUAUACUUUCUCAUAAAAAUGCCUGAAGAAACCUUUAACAUCUAUUUGGCAUUUUAACAGCAACUGGCAUUUGAAGAUAAUGAACGAUACUUAAAUAGAUGACAAGAAUUAUUACCUCAUGGAACUUCUCAGUAAUGUCUUACUCAAAGGAUUUGUCUACACAGUAAAUGAUGCCUAAUAAUAGAACAUCCUAUAUCUGAGUUAGUGGAUUUCUUUCAAGGGAGUCUGGAAGAAGUCAGAUUUGUUAACUGAUUCUGUUAUAACUUAAAUGAUAUUUGGAUCCUAGCUAAGUAUUAAUUUAAAUAUCUUAGUUGUGCAUUUUAAAGAUCACUCUAUAGUAAAUUGUAUGUCUCAGGCAGCUGUGUUAUUACCAGCACUUCACAAAAUAUAUAAGCUAAAAUUUCUAAGCAAUCGGUCCAAGAUUGCCUGGGCUCUAGACUAGAGGAAAGGAGAUGGAGAGGGGAGGGGGGUCAUUCACCAUGUGAUGGAGUAUGCUGUCUCUGUUCUCGACUGAUCUCUGCUCAACAGUCUCCCACCUUCCCUUUCUUUUCCAGUGCUUCUGUUUUGAGUGAGUCUGAUUAUACUUGCCUAUCCUUGUGAGUUCUUUCAUUUUUUUGUUUUUGCAAAAGUAUGUCUGUCUACCCUGUGAUUCCUUUCAUGGCUGCCUGGUGCUCCGUGGGAUGCCAUGUUGGCCUUGCUGUAUCCCUUCUUACUCUAACUUUCCCAGCUCAUGUUCCCUACCUCCCUCACCUAACCGCCCACAGUUCCUUAAACCCUCCUUGUGUUUUCUUGCCCAGGAUCCUUCCUGCUGCCUGACCACUGUACAGUACCUAAAGUGUUUGCAUUCCUUGAUAGCUUCCUUUUGCCAUUUCCUCUGACCCCGUGACAGGGAAUUAAGCUCUCUUCUCUGUUAUUCUGCUUUCACUAUUGUUCUUUCCCAGCUCCCAUUGCUAAUUAUUGCUGUGGCUUUUUUACCCCAGUAUUAUGUGAGCUCCCUCUUUCACUUUGAUUAGAUUUGUAUCAAGCUUAUUGCACUGUACUGCAGUUGCGUCUGCGUUUGGCUACUUUCCUAUUAUGCUGCUUCUUGGGAGCAGAUGAUAGCUGACAUUUAUUGAGGAGUUACUAAGGGUCAGGAAUGAUUCUUAGUGUUUUGCACAUAUAAACCUAUUUGACUCUUAUAAUAGUCUUAGGAGUUUCAGUUACAAUCACCCUAAUGCUAAACAUGAGAAAACCAAUGAAGUAACGCCAUUCGAGUUAUUUUCUUUACACAAGAAGACAUCCAGAGUCUGCUCCUUAACUCUUCUCCUUAACCACUUUGCCACCAUGCCUUGUCCUGGCAGAUUCCCUUCUUCCUCCCCCUUCUUCUUCUGAUCUCUUUCUCCUUUUUCCUUUCUCCCCUCUUUCCUCCUCUUUCUUCCUGCUCAGCCCAUCUUCCUUUCUCUUCUUUUUUCCUCUGAGUCUUUUUCUUUCUUUUCUUUACUUUUCAGAGUCUUUUACACUUCCUGGCAUGUGUCCAUUCUUAGUGUUCCUCAAACAAAUUAAUCACUGUAAUAUGAACAUACAUAAUUAGGCCUUUGGGAAAGGUAGGUACCGUUUCUUCCUAAAGUAGAAGGAAUCUAAAGGAACAGAACUCUGAAGCUGGUAAUCAGCAUGGCUCGUCUGAAAAAAAGACUCAAGCACAUUCUUCCUGAGUCCAUUCACUCCUCAAAUGAUUUUUUAAGCCAAUCCCAAAUGACCACUUUACUACUUCUAAUAAACAAUGUCAGCAAAUCCUUUCGCUCCAUAUUUGAAUGACUUUAUUAAGUAACCGUAUCACAUAAAACUGCUCUUAGUGUGACAUAUUUACAAGUUUUCACCCUACAUGUUAAUGAUUAGCAUAAACAAUUUCUCUGUUUAAAACAGCCCUCAGGCUUAAGAUGCCUAAGUUUGCCUCCACUAAUACACUUCACUCAGUUUGGAAUGUCCUUUCUCUGCAUCAGAAGGUUAGUGACGUCAUCUGACUGAAGUGGAAGGGCUUGUGACAACCAUGUCAGUGCAGUUGAGCACUUCUACUCUGCAUGGGAUUGUUUCACUUUAUGCUGCUAAGAAUAACACUCCCAGAGUCCAGAAAAGUGACCAAAGAAGUUACUGGCAGUUUUUAUCUCGUGUGCUUCUGUCUCCUCCAUUUAUACCUUCCUAGUGAGGAAACUUAGAUGAUCACACCACACCAACAGUAACCCAGCAAAGACUGGCAGGCAUAUCCCAACACUGCCAAGACAUGGCGGGUUUAGCUUGCUUUGUUGUUUGAGGAUGAUACAAUGGCUUCCUGGUUUUAUGUAGUUUAGGCUCUGACUUGUUCAGUUCUCUAGAAUCCUCAAAAUAGACCACAGAUUCCUGGUACACAUCUCCCUCUCCCCUCCCUCUCCCCUCCCCCUCCCCUACCCCUCCCUCUCUUUCUGUCUCUUUCUGUCUCUCUCUCUCUCUCUCUCUCUCUCUCUCUCUCUCUCUUUCUAUCUCCCUUUCCCUCUCCCUCUCCCCUCCCUCUCCCCUACCCCUCCCUCUCUUUCUGUCUCUUUCUGUCUCUUUCUGUCUCUGUCUCUGUCUCUCUCUCUCUCUCUCUCUCUCUCUCUCUCUCUCUCUUUCUAUCUCCCUCUCCCUCUCUCUCUCCUCUCUGGCUUUAGCUUUCUUUUCAUCUUUGUCUAUGUCUGUCUCUGUCUCUUGGAUUAUCAUAUGAAGUCUGUAAAUGCACUAUCCUGGGAUCUUUUUUUUUUUUUUUAAUUUACAUCCAAAUUAGCUCUUUCAGGAACUUGUGUAGACAUGAAAUUGUAUGCCCAUGUCUUUCCUCUCACAAGAACAUAGUAUCUAUUUCUACUAAGCAUGCUCUAUCCCAUGCUUAGUAGACCUUUGCUUUCUAAUUACACAAAGUCCAGACAUGAGCCUAGGCACUGGCUGGAAACACAGCAUAGAAACUUCUGGGAGAGAAAUGAUAAAUUACCACAUCAAUUUCACAUUGUUCUAUGCCUGAUGUAGAAUUAUUGGGUUUUAUGGUUUAAAAUUCUGAGUUAUUUUAUCUUGAGCUUCAAAAUUUGGCUCAUCCUUUCUAUCACUCACAGAGGUAGUCGAUAAGGCUUGGCAGGUGUCCCAGUUUUAUCUUACUGGGUUUGGAAAGGAACUACAGAACAUUAUGUGAGGACCAGUGAGGAGGGCAUCAAGACCUCAUCAGGAAAGUCUCAAGCACAACAGAAACAUAGGGAUAGAACAAUCCCUCUUUUUUUAUUCAGUUUUUACAGUGAAGCGUAUCACCCCUACCCCCACUUCAGCUGACAUAACCAGAGACAUAAAGGAGAUGGGGCCCAGAGUUUGCAAUAUAUUUUGAUAACAGUGAGCUGUUUUAAUUUUGUUUAAAAUAUGAAAAAGUAGAUAUAAUAAAUAUUAACAUUACACAUUUCAUACACAUACAGAUGCACACAUGAUCUUAAUGACUUCCUCUCGGAUUUAUUUUAUUUCUUCCCCUUAUGGUAGGAGGAUCAAAGAAAGCAAGCAUUCCCAGAGCUCAAGAAAGCCAUCAUAGUAACACUGAGCUCAACUGAUUUACAAUGUAAGCUCCUGGAAAGCUCCAAAAUAUUUCUGUGAUUGUGACAGAAAGGGUCCUGGCCCUGUAAACUCAUCUCAGAUCUUCAAGGUGAAGUUGUCAAUUGGACCAUGACUUACCCUCGAUCUACAAUAAAGUAAUAAGGGGAAUUUAUGAUUUGUCUGGCCCUCUCCAUGAUACAUUAUAAAUAUCACAUCAAUUGGUUCCUUAAUAACUUGGAAAGGAGCUGAAUCAAAUUAGUCAGGUGUUUUAAUCACCAUUACACACCUGCUUAAACCAAGGAUCUGAUUCUGCUAAUUAGUGUGCCAGAAUCAAAAAUCAGAAUCCAAUCUUAUUGGAACACCUGCUCUCCUACCAGUUCUCAUGGUGUAGAUCAAUACACACACACGAAGUGCUUUAUAAACAUUGAAAUAUUUAAAUAAAAUACACGGAGUUUUGUUCCAAGCACUGCAUUUUGUCUUUACUAACAAAAGUGUUCUAUGAUCCAAAUACUAGAGCUGUAUUCAAGUAGAACCAAUUGUCAAACAACUAUCAAGUUUCCUUUAAUACAUAUGCACACACAAACACACAAUUCAGCCUCAAAUCUGCAUCUAUUUUUAUUCAGAUACAUUUAUGUAUUUUGAAGAAAUGUUAGUAAAUUACUUCAAUUUAAAUUAAGUUUCAAAUUCUUUAAAAGGGUUUGUAUUCCUUAAUUUUGUCUCUCUCUCUUUUUUGUCUUUUUCUUUCUUUCUUUCUUUCUUUUUUUUUUUCCGGUGCUGGGGACCGAACCCAGGGCCUUGCGCUUGCUAGGCAAGUGCUCUACCGCUGAGCUAAAUCCCCAACCCCUUAAUUUUGUCUCUUGUACUAGGAAUAAAACCCUGUUCUGAAGCAUGUGAGGCAAGCACUUUGCCACUCACUGCAUUAUAUCCCGGCUCAGCUGGAUUCCUAUAAAACCAAAUAAUGGGGAAGGAUGAAGACUGCACUCAUCUAUGGACACAGGACAAAUGUUUGUAGACCAUUGUCAGGGGUUAUGCUGGUUUAGUAAGUUAGUGGUUGUAGAUUCUUC